AUCCGGCUGACGAGAUCCAAAUAGGGCGAAACUCGUGUCCUGGAU
rnacentral:hammerhead_ribozyme from 1 species